rnacentral:lncRNA from 1 species
CAGGGGUACUAGCCUACUGAGCCACAUCCCCAGCCCUAUUUUGUAUUUUAUUUAGAGACAGGGUGUCACUGAGUUGCUUAGUGCCUCACUUUUGCUGAGGCUGGCUUUGAACCAUAAUCCUUCUGCCUCUGCCUCCCAAACUGCUGGGAUUACAGGUGUGCACCACAUGCCCAGCUUAACUGUAGUCUUGAUAGGAGCUGCAAAGGUAGCAGCCUGUACUGCCUUCCACUAAACUUCCCCUCAUUAAGUUUUUCCCAGGAAAAGAGUCCUCUAGUGUCUUGAAGGAGCUGAACUUAUAUGAAGCAAAUGGUUUGGAGUGGCACAGGGAUGAACUUGUAUGGAUGCUGGACUGUGUUGCUCAGAUUCCCUCUUCAGGACUGGAGGACUUAUUCCUCCAGCUUCUGGGAAGGUUGGCUGAUGAAGAGAGCCACCUCAUCCAAUGUCAUGGUCCCUUCUCUGGAUAGCUCGAAGUCGCAGUCGAAGAUUCAUCAAUGUGGGGGUAAUAAAGGCUCAGAAUUCAUGCUCCAAUUACAACAACUCUGAAGGGAUAGCUCAGCUUCCAAACUCUUUAUGGCAUCAGCUGAAGACUUGUUGUGAUUAUACUAUAGCUCAAUUUAUUCCUGCCUAAUCCUUCUUCCUUCUAAUACUGCUUGGGUGUUGACCCUAAGAUCACACCCUAAUAAACAACCCCAUGUUAUUCUUCAUCUAAGUUUGCCUCUCAUAAAACCCAACUCAUAGAAAUUAUCUUUAUAACACCUUAUUUAUGGUGACAGGUGUUAAAUUCUGUUUUUUAAAUUUUUUAUUUUUUUAAUAUUUUGUUUUUGGUUGUAGAUGGACACAAUACUUUAUUUAUUUAUUUUUAUGUGGUGCUGAGGAUUGAACCCAGUGCCUCACAUGUACUAGACAAACGUUCUACCACUGAGCUACAACCCCAGCCCCUAAAUUCUUUUUUUUUAAUAAUUAUUUUUUAGUUGGCACAAUACCUUUAUUUAUUUAUAUGUGGUGCUGGGGAUCGAACCCAGGACCUUGCACAUGCUAGGUGAGCACUCUACUGCUGAGCCCCAUCCCCAGUUGACAGUUGUUAAAUUCUAUCCUGAUCUUUCCAUUAGUAAAUCUGUUGUUGUUAUUAUUUUGGGGUGUGGGGGAUUGAACUUAGGGGCACUUGACCAUUGAGCCACAUCCCCAGCCCUAUUUUAUAUUUACUUAGAGACAGGGUCUCUAGGAGUUGCUGAAGGUCUUGCUAAAUUGCUGAGGUUGUCUUUGAACUUGCAAUCCUCCUGUCUCAGCCUCCUGGCUGCUGGGAUUAUAGGCAUGCACCAUUGCUCCCAGCUUACCCUGAUUUUAAGAAUUCUCAUUUUAGGGGCUGAGAUGUAAUUCAAUGACAGUUGUCUCACAUUCACAAAGCCCUGGGAUCCAUUGCCAGUUCCAAAAAAGAC